AUUGAGACUACUUACAUUAGUUGACGGUAAGGCAUUGUUGUGCUGAAGAGAUUUAUUCGUGUUCAAGUAUUUAAUUCAAUAAUAAAGGGAUUAAUUCGAAGCAGUAAACGAUAAAAGUUAAUAAAAACAAUUUACUUUUUUGCCGAUAAGAAAACAUUAUACAGAGGUUGCAUUGUCCAGUGUCUUGUUAAAAAAUAUAAAACUUGAUAGACAUCUUAUAAAUAAAAAGAAUCGUACUCAUUAGUGUU
rnacentral:misc_RNA from 1 species